rnacentral:rRNA from 1 species
AAUAUUAGUCAAUGCUCGCAAGAGUGAACUAGCUAACUGAAAUCAAAAAAUCAUGUAAAAAUGGUUUUUUGAUAACGUAAGGGAAAAAAUUGAUAUUACCUUACUAUUAGUGUUGUCUAAAUUACUGGUGCCAGAAGACUCGGUAACACCAGAAACGCGAACGUUAGUCGUCUUAAACAGGCGUAAAGGGUGAGUAGGCGGCUUUAAGUUUCUUUAAUUAAUGCUUCUUUAAUUAUUAUUAUUUUUAACAACUAAAAUCCUAAUAAUAAUAAUUAUUGAGUUCAAUAGAAACAAAUUAAAGCUAGAAUCAUAUGGAGGAUAAACCAAAUAAUACUAGAGUGUAGGGCUAAUAUCCAUAAAUAUAUAGUAGAAUACUAAUGGUGAAGACUUUUUAUCUAUUAAUGAUUGACGCUGAGGAACGAAAGUGAGAAUAGGGAUUAGGAUUAGAUACCCAGGUACCUCUCACUGUCAACGAUGAGUGGUAGUUAUUAGUUUAAAAAUAUAAAUUAGUAACGAUGUUAACGCGUUAACCACUCCGCCUUGAGAGUACGGUUGCAAAACUGAAACCAAAAAAAUUAGUCGGUCUCGGAGCAAACGAAGUGAAGCAUGUUAUUUAAUUC